GUUAACAAUGGUCUCACGGUCUCACACUGGAGCCUUAGACAGCUGCAGAUAAAGUGAAAGACUAGAUAGUGUAACGCCAGUGGCCUCACCUUCCCACCAAAAAGGAAAUGCCCCUAUUUCCAGAUCCUAGAUUGUGUGUGUGUGUGUGUGUGUGUGUGUGUGCGCGCGCGCGCGCGCGUGUGCAUGCGUGUGUGUGUGUGUGUGUGUGUGUGUGUUCAGGCAUACACAGCUAAGGAAUUGAAACCUAGCAAGAGGAUAAGGCUUUAACCCCUGAACCUGGGUCUGAUGGUGUAGGUCCUGGACCGAGGUGGCUUUGACCUAGCUAUUAGUAGGCUUGGGUCAGACGACACAACCAAGACAGGAAUGUCACAAAAAGACUGAAGCCUCGAUGCCAGCACAUGGUUUUGGUGGAUUCUGAGGACCUGGAAAUAAGGCUGUGACUGCUGGAGUGAAAAGGGGGUGCCUUCAGGUUUUUGUUUGUUUUGUUAAGAUUUAUUUUUUAUUUUAUGUAUGUAAGUACACUGUCGCUGUCUUCAGGCACACCAGAAGAGGGCAUCGGAUCCCUUUACAGAUGGUUGUGAGCCACCAUGUGGUUGCUGGGAAUUGUAUUCAGGGCCUCUGUAAGAGCAUUCAGUGCUCUUAACCGCUGAGCCACCUCUCCAGCCCGGUGGCUUGAGUUUUUAUAGUCAGGGCUCCACAAUCUAUACCCUCCAAGCCUUUGACCCAGCCUCAGAAGUUUGCUUUCAAGGGUUCCAAAUACAAAAACCCGGCUCCGGAAGCUACGGCAGUUUUGGAUCCGCCUCCAUUCUCCUCGCUUGUCUGCCGAGGGUUGGCCCAGAAAAACCUCAGAGAAGCCAUGGCAACAAAGGGCCCUGUACUUUCUAUAGAGGAGCACCCUGCCUUUGUCUGAUCCAGCCCGGUGCUCCUCUGUCUCUGCAAACAACAAAAGAUGUGGCCACCCGGCUGGCUUCCCCGCCCCCACUAGAGCGCUAA
rnacentral:lncRNA from 1 species